GAUGAACGCUAGCGGGAGGCCUAACACAUGCAAGCCGAGCGGUAUUGUUUCUUCGGAAAUGAGAGAGCGGCGUACGGGUGCGGAACACGUGUGCAACCUGCCUUUAUCUAGAGGAUAGCCUUUCGAAAGGAAGAUUAAUACUCUAUAAUAUAUUAAUUGGCAUCAAUUGAUAUUGAAAACUCCGGUGGAUAGAGAUGGGCACGCGCAAGAUUAGCUAGUUGGUGAGGUAACGGCUCACCAAGGCAAUGAUCUUUAGGGGGCCUGAGAGGGUGAUCCCCCACACUGGUACUGAGACACGGACCAGACUCCUACGGGAGGCAGCAGUGAGGAAUAUUGGUCAAUGGGUGCAAGCCUGAACCAGCCAUCCCGCGUGAAGGAAGACGGUCCUCUGGAUUGUAAACUGCUUUUGUUAGGGAAGAAACCCUCGGUUGCGACCGAGGCUGACGGUACCUAAAGAAUAAGGAUCGGCUAACUCCGUGCCAGCAGCCGCCGUAAAAC
rnacentral:rRNA from 1 species